AGCAGCCGCGGUAAUUCCAGCUCCAAUAGCGUAUAUUAAAGUUGUUGCAGUUAAAAAGCUCGUAGUUGAAUUUCGGGAUCAAUAUGUUGGUCGUGCCUCGGUACGUACUAGCUUAUUGGUUUCUCCUUUCUGAAGAACCAUGAUGUCAUUUAUUUGGUGUCGUGGGGAAUCAGGACUGUUACUUUGAAAAAUUAGAGUGUUUAAAGCAGGCUCACGCUUGAAUACAUUAGCAUGGAAUAAUGAAAUAGGACGUUUGAUUCUAUUUUGUUGGUUUUUAGGAUCGACGUAAUGAUUAAUAGGGAUAGUUGGGGGCAUUAGUAUUCAAUUGUCAGAGGUGAAAUUCUUGGAUUUAUUGAAGACUAACUACUGCGAAAGCAUUUGCCAAGGAUGUUUUCAUUAAUCAAGAACGAAAGUUAGGGGAUCGAAGACGAUCAGAUACCGUCGUAGUCU
rnacentral:rRNA from 1 species